rnacentral:misc_RNA from 1 species
CCUGUUUUCAACUCUAACAUUUAAAUGAAUAUCACUGUGGGAACUGCAUGGACUUUCCUGAUCCUCCAGCCCAGAUUCGCCCUUAUGAUAGAUAUGUGAUUUCCUCUUUAGAGAAGCUUUUUCCCAUUNNGUCACUUGAAGAACCUUCCAUAACUUCACAAUCAGAAGAACUGCUUCCAGAUGAAUCACUUUCAGACUCGGAAUUCAAACCAUAACGAUUUCUAGAUGGAGAUUUCUU